rnacentral:rRNA from 1 species
CCUACGGGUGGCAGCAGUCGAGACUCAUUCACAAUGGGGGAAACCCUGAUGGUGCGACGCCGCGUGGGUGAAUGAAGGUCUUCGGAUUUUACACCCCUUUCAUGUGGGAUCAAAUUAAAAAGAUAGUACCACAAGAGGAAUAGACGGCUAACUCUGUUCCAGCAGCCGCGUUAAUACAGAGGUCUCAAGCGUUGUUCUGAAUCACUGGGCGUAACGCGUGCGUAGGCUGUUUCGUAAGUCGGGUGUGAAAGGCGCGGGCUCAACCCGCGGACGGCACAUUAUACGGCGAGACUAGAGUAAUGGAGGGGGAACCGGAAGUAUCGGUGUAGCAGUGAAAGGCGUAGAUAUCGAGAGGAACACUCGUGGCGAAGGCGGGUGCCUGGACAUUAACUGACGCUGAGGCACGAAGGCCAGGGGAGCGAAAGGGAUUAGAUACCCUUGUAGUC